GUGAGGGUAUCUUGCUGGAGAUUCUUGUGUACCUGAGGCCUUCUGUGGAGGGAUGUACACAGGGCUCAGCGUUCCCAGCCCAGUGGUGACACUCUCUUGAGGCAGCAGACACAGUGGAGGCUCUGGCUACCCAAGCAAGGAGCCAGAGAGGUUGGAGUGGCCUUCUACCAGGAGAGCAACAACACCAGCUUCCACUGCCAGCGCCUUGGAGAGGGCUGUGUUGUCCUUGCAGGUCGAGAUGUGGAAGGCAGUGGGACAUCUGGACGUGCCCCUUUGCCUCCAGCCUUCCUUCCCAUUGCACGGAUCCUCCCUGCAGGGCUGCUCCUGUUCUCAGUGCCACCUGACCACAGCUGAGAACAGAAGAGCUCAGAGAACCGCAUGUCGUUGUGUCCCCACUCCAAGGAAACCCAGGUGGAGAAGUGGAAAAUAUCUCGUUUCAUGCCUAGACCACCCCAGACUGAAGGGUGUGAGCCUGCAGGGUGGUCUAAAACACCCUGCAGCACGGCGGAGGAAAGCCCUUCACAGCGCUGAACGCUCAAACCUGGUUGGAUGCAGGCAGAGGGUGGAGUUGUGUACCCAAGGGGAUAGGGUCCGCUGUCCCCAUCCAUGCAAAAUCAUCAGUGCUUCCCGUGGAGAUGCAUCAGCCACCCGCAGAUGGAAAGCAAAGCCCUCACUGAGCUGCACACAUCCCCAGCUUGGUCCUGGUGGACCCUUGUGCUGCCCCACAGCCAGCCCCAUGCCACGGCGCUCGCACUCCCAGUGCAACCGGUUCCCUCCCAGCCACCAGGCCAUUCCUGGGCAAGGAUCUGCAGCUUUAAGGCACAGCCUGGCCACAGAGCAGGUUGCUCUUCCCAUCCUCCUGUGGCCUGCCAGAGUCAACUUAGCUGAGAGUAAUUAGUGUGGUUAUCAAGGGAAGAGGUGGAUUAAUGUGGGAAAGUCAUUGAUGAAGGCAGAGAAGGGCAGAUGCUUUCCUGGAGUCCCCAAUCAAUACAGACCUUGGAGGAUGAAUGAGGGCUUCAAAGAAAAGCAUCAGUGAACAAUUGAAUGCUUUUAGCUCCCGGAUGGCUGCUCUGCCUGAAGCAAUGAGCGAAAUAUGGCACGGGGCACCCCGCACGCUCUUGCAAUUAUCCCUGACUUGUGCCUCUGAAGGAGCCUCUGCCCAUCAGCCACCUGUG